rnacentral:tRNA from 1 species
GGAGCUGUGGCUCAGUAGUAGAGCACUUGCCUGGCAUGCAUGAGCCCCUGGGUUCGAUCUUCAGCACUG